rnacentral:rRNA from 1 species
UACGGGGGGAGCAAGCGUUGUUCGGAUUUACUGGGCGUAAAGGGCGCGUAGGCGGCCACUGCAAGUCAGUUGUGAAAUCUCCGGGCUUAACCCGGAAAGGUCAACUGAUACUGCAGGGCUAGAGUGCAGAAGGGGCAACUGGAAUUCUCGGUGUAGCGGUGAAAUGCGUAGAUAUCGAGAGGAACACCUGCGGCGAAGGCGGGUUGCUGGGCUGACACUGACGCUGAGGCGCGAAAGCUAGGGGAGCAAACAGG